CUAUAGCUCAAUUGGAUAGAGCAUCUGACUACGGAUCAGAAGGUUGCAGGUUCGACUCCUGCUAGG
rnacentral:tRNA from 1 species